UACGUAGGGUGCGAGCGUUAAUCGGAAUUACUGGGCGUAAAGCGUGCGCAGGCGGUUCGUUAAGUCAGAUGUGAAAGCCCCGGGCUCAACCUGGGAACUGCAUUUGAAACUGGCGGGCUUGAGUAUGGCAGAGGGGGGUGGAAUUCCGCGUGUAGCAGUGAAAUGCGUAGAGAUGCGGAGGAACACCGAUGGCGAAGGCAGCCCCCUGGGCCAAAUACUGACGCUCAGGCACGAAAGCGUGGGGAGCAAACAGG
rnacentral:rRNA from 1 species